rnacentral:lncRNA from 1 species
CACUGUUGUUGGGGAUUGGCAAAUUGGUGAAUUUUGGUUUUUUUUUAUCAAUUUAAUUUUGUUAAUUUUAUCUUACUUAGUUAUUUUUUAUUUUUCAAGUUUGCUGCUAGUUUAUAAGUAGAAGUAUUGUCGAGAAAGAAGAGUAUUAUUAUGACCCUGAAAUUGAGAGAGCCUUGAGGAGAAGAAGAAAAGAAUUGCGAGAAAUGGCAAUG